GUCUCUUAGGCUGUUUUCAUUUCUUUUCAUUCUUUUUUCUUUAUACUGUUCCACAGCAGUGAAUUCCACCAUUCUGUCUUCCAGGUCACUUACCCAUUCUUCUGCCUCAGUUAUUCUGCUAUUGAUUUCUUCUAGUGUAUUUUUCAUUUCACUUAUUGUACUGUUCAUCUCUGUUUGUUUGUUCCUUAAUUCUUCUAGGUCUUUGUUAAAUAUUUCUUGCAUCUUCUCAAUCUUUGCCUCCAUUCUUUUUCCAAGGUCCUGGAUCAUCUUCACUAUCAUUAUUCUGAAUUCUUUUUUGUGUAAGGUUGCCUAUCUCCACUUCAUUUAGUUGUUUUCUUUGGUUUCAUCUUGUUCCUUCAUCUGCUACAUAGCCCUCUGCCUUUUCAUCUUGUCUCUCUAUCUGUGAAUGUGGUUUUUGUUCCACAGGCUGCAGGAUUGUAGUUCUUCUUGCUUCUGCUGUCUGCCCUCUGGUGGAUGAGGCUAUCUAAGAGGCUUGUGCAAGUUUCCUGAUGGGAGGGACUGGUGGUGGGUAGAGCUGCCUGUUGCUAUGGUUGGCAGAGCUCAGUCAUGCUUUAAUCCACUUGUCUGCUGAUGAGUGUGGCUGGGUUCCCUCCCUGUUGGUUGCUUGGCCUGAGGCGACCCAACACUGAAGCCUACCUGGCUCUUUGGUGGGGCUAAUGGCAGACUCUGGGAGGUCUCAUGCCAAGGAGUACUUCCCAGAACUUCUGCUGCCAGCGUCCUUGUCCUCAUGGUGAGCCACAGCCACCCCCCACCUCUGCAGGAGACCCUCCAACACUGGCAGGAUUUAUUGCCUGUGGAGGCCUCUGGAUCACCCCAGCUCAUAUAAACAGGAAACACAAUUCCAAGCAGAGAAGAAAAGGAAGAGAAAGCUGGAGCAAAUAAAUUAGGACACAGAGUCACACGCACAAGAAGAAUGAGAUGUGAAGAUGAAGGCAGAGAUCAGGCAACACCAAGGAUUGCCAGCAAACUACCAGAAGCUAGGAGAGAGCCCUGGAACAGAUCCUUCUUACAGCCCUCAGAGGAAACCAACACUGCUGACACCUUGAUCUCAGACUCCCAGUUUCCAGGACUGUGAGACAAUAAACUUCUGUUAUUUAAGCCAACAAACAAACAAACAAACAAAAACAACUGGAACACAACAUAAGGAGCUACAGCAGAAGCAUCCUUUCUUGAAUAUCCUUACAAGCUAGGGAGCAUUUAGGCAGUAAUUUUACUUUGAAAGAGAAAAAAGAUUGUAAGCAGAGAAGGCUACCUCUUGCUCUCUGACAUUUAACUUGGUCCUCUUUCUUUUUUUCUACCUUCCAUAUGCAGGCCAAAUUCAAACUCAUUAAACUCUCAAUUCAUCAGACUCCUGUGUAGAUUUAAAUAUGGAGUCAGGUAUUGGAUAACACUUGAAGUUUGGUUUUUGUGUUUGUAUUCUUGAUUCACACCCUGGACUGCAAAUUAUCCUUUCUAUCAGGUCAACUCAGAAAUCUAAGUGUUUCUAGAGUGGAUACAAGCAGAGUUGACAAGAAGAAAGCUUCAGAUAAAUAAAACAGAAAAAAAAAUCCAAAUUUCACUGCAUGGAUAUAUAGAUAGGACUCUCACUAGGACUUCCUUCCAUCAGAAGAUAAGCUAAUGGUUGGUUCUCAAGGAAUUCCUCCUGUGUUUGCUGUGGCUGGUCUUACAGUAACUGUUGACCGUCACUGGUUUCAGGUCACAGACAGAAGACAUGGCAUGGUAAAAUCAUCAUCCUCUGAAAAGGAUAUGUUACUUGCUAACACAAACAGAUACCAAUAGCAUUUACUUUGUUUUUAAUCAUCUGAGAUACACUGUAUCUGAGAAAAACAACUUAACUGAUAAUCUUGGUAACAAAGGUAGAUGAAAAGAGCAGAACAAGGGCAAUUAAAGCCCGGGGUCCAACCCUGAGUGCAGAAGGAAUAAGUGAGUUAACCUCAAAUCUCUUAAAGAUCUGUUGGUCAAGCUCUUAACUUAAUAUGUUCAUCAGACCUUUCAUUCAAGCAGGCUUUUUUGAGUUCUGAAAGUUUUAAUAGCUUUUCUUUCAUUGUCUCUAGCAUCAAGUUUUCUUUCUUAUGUGUCA